GCCUGCCUAGCUCAAUCGGAUAGAGCGUCAGACUCUUAGGAGUGUGCGGGGAUAACCACAUCUGAAGGCUGCGAGUUCGACCCUCGCGGUGGGCU